ensembl:lncRNA
GGUAGGCCUAUGACGUUAUGGUAGCCUAUACCGACUAAGUUUGUUGAUCUUCUUCUUUCAAAACAUAGCGCAACGGUGCGGUAGCGCGCCGGUGCUAGGGCCGGCUUUUGACGCGCGUGAAAUGCACACCGCUGCGCUUCUGCGUCGGUGCGUGGCCGGAGGUUUGGUCGAGUACUGCGCCUCCUGCUGGAGCAGAACUCCGUCAACAUGCUAACGUGCUACCGGGGUUAGAGGUCAGGGCUGGCUUCAGGAGUGGUGCUCCUGUUCAGAACUACAACUCAUGAAACCACGAGGAGGUUGAUAUGUUCUAGUGUUGAUGAUAUGCUCCUUCACUCUUCGAGACAACAGAUCUUACAGUCAGGAGCAUCUCAUAGUGGCCUAUUGGGCGAGCAGAGCCUGUCAGAGUCUAUUAACCAGGACCUAAGAAUAAUAAUAAAAACAUGUGUUGCAUCCAGCUCUCAACCGCUACAAAGCUAUUCGUUGACUUUUCCUCAUCACUGUGCACCUCAACCGUAUUGACUGUUAUUGUAUUGUAUUUUUCAAAAUGAAAAAUAUAUUUAAUGAAUCUGCACCACCAACGUUAUCACUUUUGUUAAGUGUCCUAUAAAAUAAAACCCCAUUCACACUUAGAAUUUAAAAACAUUUCUCAGUCACGAAAUGCUUGUGAGAAAAAAGUGAGAAUAUUUUGAACAGAAGCCAUGGAUGCAGUAAAGAAAAAGUAACACAAUUUAGGUGUAGAUAUGACUCCGUAAACAAUCUUGUGUUUCUCUCGUCAUAGAAGAUAAUCAGUAUAUUUCAAAUGAAAGGGAAAGCACGGGUGUAAAAUAACUGAGUGCCAGGAGUCAUCUUCCAAAGGAGAAUCGAGCAGUUCUACAGACGUGUAUGUUGUGAAGUUACAUUCCUCUAUGUCAUGUCUGGCUGCAGAGUUGAACUAAACCUCGAAGGUGUGCGGUUGUUGAGUCCUUGUGAGUUUACAUAUUUGUGCGGCAACUAGAACGAGGUGAUGGUCCAUGAAGUAGGAAAACCAAAGCAUCUGGUAUGUACAAAAAAACAUGCUGGGUGGAUCGCUGUCUUGUAUGUCGUGAGUUCCUUCUCCAAAAAUAUUUCUAUGCAGUCGCUAUAUAUCCAUCUCCUCAUUGCAUUACUGAGUUGGUGAUUCUUAAAAAACCUUUCUCUUGUGUGUCCGUGUCACUUUCUCUGUCACGCACACACAACACGUUCGUCUGCACACGCAAAUAAACAAACAUUCAACUUCUUUUGAGCUCAGCAUGAAUGAUAUUAAGGACACAUCCUCCUGAUGAGGGAUGUUGCAAAACCAUGGGCAGCAUGACGGGGGAUAUACAGAUAAACUCAAACUAUCCCUGUUCCUUAAACAAUACGGCUCCUUAGAUAAACAGUAAUGUGUUGACAUCAUUUUUAAUAGAAGUGUAUAGCUAUGGUUAGAAGAGAAAAUUAAGUUUGAAUAUGAUAUGGGAUCACACGCAGCAACACACACGCACACACAUCCGCUCAUAGUUCUUAUUGCUUCUGAAGGUCGGACAGUAAAGUAGGAACUAAAAGGUUUGGAAGUGAGACAAGAACCAGGGCGAGGAAGCAGGUUCCCAGGCUCACAGUAACGGGGUCAGUAUUAGAGUUUCUCAUCACAGUGAUCGGCGACUGACUGUCCUUAACUGUCAAGAAAACAAACAUUGAUGCUCAACACGAGCGCUCAGACACGUUGGACUCCGGCCCUCCAAGCCCCGGUCCAGCUCCCUGACCACAUCAUAGCUACAUUAUAACCGUUAGGAUUCCCCCCCUAUACCCAACAUCAAAGUGACAUCAACAGUAAUUGCUGAAAUUCUUUAUAUGUUUGUACCACUCCAUGAGUACUAAUAGCAGUCUACUACUGUAAGGUCAAGAUUCACGUCAGACAUUAAAGCUACUAAGUGUAAGUGAAAUCCUGCCCCCUGUUGGGGGAUGACAAGACUGCUGCUACAUCUACUACAAAAGGCUGCCCUCAGAGGUCUGAGGGGAGGGACGGGCGAGGGGGUGGAGCCCACUGGUGCCUUCCAGACCGUGAUCGGUCAGAAGGUGCAGGGUGGCAUCUUGUUUAAAUCACUAAUCCGGACACCAACAUAAAGGACCAAUAAUACAGAGCAACACAACAGAGGUCUGCUUGUUCGCGUGCACAUAGGGUUCAGGAGAUGUAGAUAGAAUAAUAGUAUAUAUCUUAUGUAUGUAUAUAUAUAUAUAUAUAUAUAUAUAUAUAUAUAUAUAUAUAUAUAUAUAUAUAUAUAUAUAUAUAUAUAUAUAUAUAUAUAUAUAUAUAUAUUAUAUAUAUAGAGUUAGGUUGGAACAAGCCAGAUGAACACAAAGUAACACCACAGGUUCUGAAGAGCAGCAUGGUGAUGGUGUAGGGUCCUAACAACACGAACAACACGAGGUACACAUCCCAACACCAGGUUAUGUACAGCACAGCUUUCCUUUGGUGGUAGUGUAGCGUACUGGACUUUGAGCACUGGGACGUGGACGUGGUGGUUUGGCAUACUGGUCUGUGAUGUGGUCCGACUGGCGGGAAUAUGGAGAGAUACAAACCUGUUGCCUAGAGAUUAUGCAAAUUCACACACAUUUUUUUCUUUUCCCAGAGUAAUGGAGAGAAAGGGCCAGUCUGACGAACCCUACGUGGCAUAAGAGCCUAGACGUCCUCUCCGGCCCCCCCACCCUAGAUCUCUCUUUACUGGUAGCUAAAGACAGGCCAUGCAGCAGCAAUCAGCAUGCUGAACAGAUAACAGGAAGCACGUUUUGGUUGCUUUUUUUGUUUGUUUGAGUUUGGUUUGGUUUUUUUUUGUACGAAAAAAUCAUGCGUCUAACCUAGAACCCCAUGUUCUUUUUUUAGAGUUUCUUUAAAAAAAAAAAGGAAGUAAGAAAAAACGACAGUAGAUCCACUUCCUGUUGGCGGCGCUGAUGGUCGUGUGGCCGCUAGCUGUGUGUACGUUUCGUCGGUGUCCGCUGCUCCUCCGAGGAGGUCUCUCCGCCACCCCCCGUUGUCCGUCAUGUGUCUAUGUAGGAUGGUUUCGGUGAGGUUGGGAGAUCCUGUGGGGAGGCCUGUGUGGCUCCGCCCCUCUGUCUGCCUCACUGCUUUACCCGCCGCAGAGUGGCACACUGCACUAUCUGAGCCCCUUUCUUCACAUCCAUAAUAUCCGGCU